UGUGGAGGUGCCGUGGGUUUGGAGGUCAGCCCCGGACAGGCAUGGAGGACAUCCCAAGAGCCAGGCUGGCCUCCCAGGCAACCCCUCAGAGUUCUAGGUUUCAAAUCCCCAUGAGGCAAAGGCUUGGGAGGAUCUCAGCAUGACCACAGCAGUUUGGUGCUUUCUGGAAACAGAUGAGCCCUGUACAACAUGUCACUUGAUAGCCUACAUCCUGGGGAUGGGGAGGGUCGGAGUGUGAGGUCUCCAUGACCGAGGAGAGAAGCAGGAGGAAGCUCUUCAGGUCCUGCAGAAGCUAGAAGCCUUUCAUGCACUGUCUGGCUGUUCUGAAGUCUGGAG
rnacentral:lncRNA from 1 species